rnacentral:rRNA from 1 species
ACUUAAAUUGAAGAGUUUGAUCAUGGCUCAGAUUGAACGCUGGCGGCAGGCCUAACACAUGCAAGUCGAGCGGUAGCACAGAGAGCUUGCUCUCGGGUGACGAGCGGCGGACGGGUGAGUAAUGUCUGGGAAACUGCCUGAUGGAGGGGGAUAACUACUGGAAACGGUAGCUAAUACCGCAUAACGUCGCAAGACCAAAGUGGGGGACCUCCGGGCUCUAUGCCAUCAGAUGUGCCCAGAUGGGUCUAGCUAGAAGGCGGGGUAACGGCUCCCCUAGGCGACGAUCCCUAGCUGGUCUGAGAGGUGCACAAGCUACACCGGAACUGAGACUCGGUCCAGACUCAUACGGGAGGCAGCAGUGGGGAAUAUUGCACAAUGGGCGCAAGCCUGAUGCAGCCA